UAAGUCAUGACAAGUUUUUCU
rnacentral:miRNA from 1 species